UACGUAGGGUCCGAGCGUUGUCCGGAAUUACUGGGCGUAAAGAGCUCGUAGGUGGUUUGUCGCGUUGUUCGUGAAAACUCACAGCUUAACUGUGGGCGUGCGGGCGAUACGGGCAGACUUGAGUACUGCAGGGGAGACUGGAAUUCCUGGUGUAGCGGUGGAAUGCGCAGAUAUCAGGAGGAACACCGGUGGCGAAGGCGGGUCUCUGGGCAGUAACUGACGCUGAGGCGCGACAGCGUGGGGAGCAAACAGG
rnacentral:rRNA from 1 species